rnacentral:lncRNA from 9 species
CGAAGCGUGGAGGGCUGGGCAGCCAUGUGGUGUGAGUUCCAGGGAGCAGUGACCAGGUGGCUGGGAGGAAACCUUGAACUCCAGAUAAGAAUAAUCAGUCCUUCCAACGUAACUGCGCAUGCCUAGCUGUCAGCCCCACCAGCGUGGACACGUGACUGAAGAACGCAUCAGCCCAGCUGCCUGUAAGGGAAGGGACUUCUGCAUUCUUUUUUAAGCACAGGACUGCCCUCUUGAAUUUUAGUUACGCAUUAUUUAUAACAUGAAAACAAAUGGCAUUUUGUUCCCCCGAGAAGU